rnacentral:rRNA from 1 species
CCUACGGGCGGCAGCAGUGGGGAAUAUUGCACAAUGGGGGAAACCCUGAUGCAGCGACGCCGCGUGAGUGAAGAAGUAUUUCGGUACGUAAAGUUCUAUCAGCAGGGAAGAAAAUGACGGUACCUGACUAAGAAGCCCCGGCUAACUACGUGCCAGCAGCCGCGGUAAUACGUAGGGGGCAAGCGUUAUCCGGAUUUACUGGGUGUAAAGGGAGCGUAGACGGCAGCGCAAGUCUGGAGUGAAAUCCCAUGGCUUAACCAUGGAACUGCUUUGGAAACUGUGCAGCUAGAGUGCAGGAGAGGUAAGCGGAAUUCCUAGUGUAGCGGUGAAAUGCGUAGAUAUUAGGAGGAACACCAGUGGCGAAGGCGGCUUACUGGACUGUAACUGACGUUGAGGCUCGAAAGCGUGGGGAGCAAACAGGAUUAGAUACCCCAGUAGUC